GCGGGCGUAGUAUAGUGGUCGUACGGAACCCUUCCAAGGUUCAGGUACGGGUUCGAUUCCCGUCGCCCGCUCCA
rnacentral:tRNA from 1 species